ensembl:lncRNA
UGUGUGAGAGAGAGAGAGAUGUAUCUCCCUGUGUAUGUGAGAGAGAGAGAGAUGCAUCUCCCUGUGUAUGUGAGAGAGAGAUAGAUGCAUCUCCCUGUGUAUGUGAAAGUGAGAUAGAUUUAUCUCCCUGUGUAUGUGAAAGAGAGAGAGAUUUAUCUCCCUGUGUAUGUGAAAGAGAGAGAUUUUUCUCCCUGUGUAUGUGAAAGAGAGAUUUAUCUCCCUGUGUAUGAGAGAGAUUUAUCUCCCUGUGUAUGUGAAAGAGAGAGAUUUAUCUCCCUGUGUAUGUGAAAGAGAGAGAUUUAUCUCCCUGUGUAUGUGAGAUUUAUCUCCCUGUGUAUGUGAGAGAGAAAUGUAUCUCCCUG